rnacentral:rRNA from 1 species
UAGCAGUGAGGAAUAUUGGUCAAUGGCCUAAUGGCUGAACCAGCAACUUGGAGGAAUGUAAGUAAUUUAUAUACAUAAAUGAAAAGCAACAAUUUUGCAUAAAAUUCUAGAUAAAAUAAUGAUUAUGACAAUUUUUUAUCUAUAUGUCUUGACUAAAUCUUGUGCCAGCAGUCGCGGUAAGACAAGAAAGACUAGUGUUAUUCAUCUUAACUAGGUUUAAAGGGUACCUAGACUGUAUAUAUUGCCUUAUACGGGAACGUGUAUACUAGAGUUUGAUAUGAGAGGAAUAUGCAAGAAUUGUCAAAGAAGAGAUAAAAUAUUUUGAUAUUGAUAAGACUGCCAAUGGCGAAAGCAAACCUCUAUCUAAAAUUAGGAAAACUUUUAUUGGUUCCAUAAUACUGACGUUGAGGGACGAAGGCUUGGGUAGCAAAUAGGAUUAGAUACCCUAGUAGUCCAGGCAGACAAUUAUGAGUGUUAUAGAUUAGAGUAAGAUUAUAAAUGUAGUAUUCACAAUAAAAUUCUUUAAUGUAUAAAUGAAAGUGUAAGCACUCCACCGCAAGAGUAAUGUGGCAACACAGAAACUGAAAUCAUUAGACCGUUUCUGAAACCAGUAGUGAAGUAUGUUAUUUAAUUCGAUGAUCCUCGAAAAACCUUACCACAAUUUGAAUGUUAGUUUAUAAUAUAAAUUAAUACAAGCGUUGCACGGCUGUCUACAGCUAAUGUUGUGAGAGGUGGUUAACGCCAGAAAUUAGCGAAAACCCUUGGUCCAGUUUUUGGAUCUGUACGUCUAGCACAUUAGAUUUGGUAAAAGGGAAUAAGACAAGUCAUCAUGACCUAAAUAUUGUGGGCUAUAGACGUGCCACAGGUGCCUUUACAAAGGGAUGCAAUAAUGCG